rnacentral:rRNA from 1 species
GGGCAGCAUGGUCUUAGCUUGCUAAGGCCGAUGGCGACCGGCGCACGGGUGAGUAACACGUAUCCAGCCUGCCGUCUACUCUUGGACAGCCUUCUGAAAGGAAGAUUAAUACAAGAUGGCAUCAUGAGUCCGCAUGUUCACAUGAUUAAAGGUAUUCCGGUAGACGAUGGGGAUGCGUUCCAUUAGAUAGUAGGCGGGGUAACGGCCCACCUAGUCUUCGAUGGAUAGGGGUUCUGAGAGGAAGGUCCCCCACAUUGGAACUGAGACACGGUCCAAACUCCUACGGGAGGCAGCAGUGAGGAAUAUUGGUCAAUGGGCGAGAGCCUGAACCAGCCAAGUAGCGUGAAGGAUGACUGCCCUAUGGGUUGUAAACUUCUUUUAUAAAGGAAUAAAGUCGGGUAUGGAUACCCGUUUGCAUGUACUUUAUGAAUAAGGAUCGGCUAACUCCGUGCCAGCAGCCGCGGUAAUACGGAGGAUCCGAGCGUUAUCCGGAUUUAUUGGGUUUAAAGGGAGCGUAGAUGGAUGUUUAAGUCAGUUGUGAAAGUUUGCGGCUCAACCGUAAAAUUGCAGUUGAUACUGGAUAUCUUGAGUGCAGUUGAGGCAGGCGGAAUUCGUGGUGUAGCGGUGAAAUGCUUAGAUAUCGCGAAGAACUCCGAUU